CACGUAGGGGGCGAGCGUUGUCCGGAUUUAUUGGGCGUAAAGAGCUCGUAGGUGGCUCGGUAAGUCGGGUGUGAAAUUUCGAGGCUCAACCUCGAGACGCCACCUGAUACUGCUGUGGCUAGAGUCCGGUAGGGGAGCGUGGAAUUCCAGGUGUAGCGGUGAAAUGCGUAGAUAUCAGGAGGAACACCGAUGGCGAAGGCAGGUCACUGGGCCGCAACUGACGCUGAGGAGCGAAAGCUAGGGGAGCGAAUGGG
rnacentral:rRNA from 1 species